AAAAAAAACCUGUACACUGUAUCAAAACAAUCCAUUUUCUAUUUCAUGCAAAAAAGCAAAAUAAGGAAUAUUCUUAAAAUGACUUUGCAGGAUGUGCUUUAUUUUAAGUCAGCCCUGAACCCAAACUACACAGGAUCAAUUUUUGACAUAUUCUAGUCCAUUCAAUGAUUCUUCUCAGAAACUGUGUCUUAAUAUGGAAUGAAAACUACAUUUCAAUCAUAAAUUUUUCAUGCUACAUUGUUAUUUCAUGAAGAGGUUGUAUUACCAAUAAUAAUAAUUUAAGAAAAGGCCAUUUUUAUUUCCCCAAGCUCAAUAUACAUAUUUCUUUCAUAAUUAUGAACUUAAAAAACCCGUCUCAGAUGUAAAAAUGUGAAUUGGAAUAUGUAAACUCUUUGAUAUACCUGAAAAACAGGAAGGAAAAUGUCACAUACUGGAAAAACCAUUGCCUUAAAUCAUGGAAAUGGGAAAAAGCACGUUAAGGGAAGGGGAAGGCAGAAGAGCGGUCCUGACCUCAGUUAUUAAAGAGUUACAAAGUAUUCUAGGUCCCACUGGGUUGGUCUUUUUACUCUUCUGCCUCAUGUCUGUUUGCACAGGAGACCGCAGCCCUCCAGAAUGGUUCCCCUCAUUGAAGCUGGUCACUGCUGGACCAUAACAAAGCAGGUGUACACAUCAUUUGUUUUGCUCCUUUUUUUUUUUUUUUCCUGAAAAGUCACUGGUGUUUAAUGGAAAGGUAUCCUAUUAGUCCUUGGUUAAGAUAAGGCAGUAAGAGUAUCACUAAUACUAUGUUUUUGCUUAGAAUGAGGCUGAUCCUUCCACUGGCGUCUUCACGGGCAAUUAGUUCCCUCUCUUUUGCUCCUAGAAACACAGGUAGGAGCUGUCUGCCCCCUAUUGCUGUUGCAUUUUCUGAGUGUGUUGAAGGCUCAUCUAGUCUCAUCACAGCAGCUUCCCCAGUGGGGAUGGAGCGCUGUAUAUUGCAUUGUAGCAUCUCUCCAGGAAGUGCACGGGCCCCACAGAGGAAAACACAGGCAUCUUUCUUUCUGACUCCUCUUCUGUUUCUCUUAGGGACGGGGCCCAUAAAUGAUUCCUUCACAUGAUCAAUCAGAAUGCAAGACACUGUUGACUAAAACAUAAAGCAAGUAGCCCUGAUUUCAGAGAAAUGGAGUUACAAAUAACAUUUUCAACAGUGCCUUAACUUGCAAGGUAGCUUUUACUGCAGAAGGAUAUCAGCUCCUUUUGUCUACCUGUCAGAAGAGAAACAAACCAUUUCCAUCGAACUAGAAAUGCUUAGCUCUUAUGAGAAUAUUGUGCUUUUAAAAAAAAUUCAAAUGUUAACAUUAUUUGCAGUCUGUGUUCUAAGGUUUCAAUUUGUUUUUUCUCUAGUCCAUUUGAUCAUUGUCUCUGGUGAGCGAUAUAGGAAUAUUAAUUUGGCAUACAGAUCUUCUUCUAGCUCCAGUUCUCCUGUCUCUCGAACUAAAAAAAUAUCCGUGCACAACUUCAAAAUUCGAUCCACAUUUGGAAGCUCUUCAAACAUGAUGGAGUGAGAAAUCCCACUGAAGAAUUCACGGACAAAUUUCCCAAUCACAAGGACAACUGAAGCAUAUAAUCCCAUAAUACUGAAAAAAACAUGUUGCUGCUCCAUGACCUCCGUCCUUUCAGGGUUACCCCUCAGGCCAAGCUACAUGCAGAACAUGGGGUCACCCCCACUCCCCGACUUGGCAAUGUGAUUUAUCUUCAGGAGGGAUCCAUUCAUUUCAGCAGAUUAAGGUAAGGAAAAAUAAUCUAACAUUUACCCAUAGGCACUAGCCAUAGAUUACACACCAGGAGAGAGACCUGGGAGUCA
rnacentral:lncRNA from 1 species